rnacentral:rRNA from 1 species
UACAGAGGUCUCAAGCGUUGUUCGGAUUCAUUGGGCGUAAAGGGUGCGUAGGUGGCGCGGUAAGUCGGGUGUGAAAUUUCGGAGCUUAACUCCGAAACUGCAUUCGAUACUGCCGUGCUUGAGGACUGGAGAGGAGACUGGAAUUUACGGUGUAGCAGUGAAAUGCGUAGAUAUCGUAAGGAAGACCAGCGGCGAAGGCGGGUCUCUGGACAGUUCCUGACACUGAGGCACGAAGGCCAGGGGAACAAACGGG